GAUGAACGCUGGCGGCGUGCCUAAUACAUGCAAGUCGAGCGAACGGACGAGAAGCUUGCUUCUCUGAUGUUAGCGGCGGACGGGUGAGUAACACGUGGAUAACCUACCUAUAAGACUGGGAUAACUUCGGGAAACCGGAGCUAAUACCGGAUAAUAUUUUGAACCGCAUGGUUCAAAAGUGAAAGACGGUCUUGCUGUCACUUAUAGAUGGAUCCGCGCUGCAUUAGCUAGUUGGUAAGGUAACGGCUUACCAAGGCAACGAUGCAUAGCCGACCUGAGAGGGUGAUCGGCCACACUGGAACUGAGACACGGUCCAGACUCCUACGGGAGGCAGCAGUAGGGAAGCUUCCGCAAUGGGCGAAAGCCUGACGGAGCAACGCCGCGUGAGUGAUGAAGGGCUUCGGAUCGUAAAACUCUGUUAUUAGGGAAGAACAUAUGUGUAAGUAACUGUGCACAUCUUGACGGUACCUAAGCAGAAAGCCACGGCUAACUACGU
rnacentral:rRNA from 1 species